AAAUGGUUCGACAUCAAAGGUACAUGGUCCGGUUCAAUAACACUCGUACCGGGAAAAGGACCGGUUAUCCUCUAUACCGGCAUUAACCAAAACGAAACUCAAAUCCAAAACUACGCAAUCCCGGAGGAUCCCUCAGACCCAUACCUAAGAAAAUGGAUUAAACCAGAUGAUAAUCCGGUUGCAGUGCCAGAUUAUACCAUGAAUGGUUCAGACUUUCGUGACCCAACCACGGCCUGGUUUUCCAAAGACGGACAUUGGAGAACCGUUGUGGGGUCAAGAAGAAAGCAUAGAGGAAUCGGAUAUAUCUACAGAAGCAAAGAUUUUAAGCAUUGGGUCAAAGCUAAGCACCCUAUCCACUCCAAAGAAUCCACCGGUAUGUGGGAAUGUCCUGACUUCUUCCCGGUUUCCACAACCGAUUUUGAGAACGGUUUGGACUUAGAUUACGCCGGUCCAAACGCUAAGCACGUGUUGAAAGUUAGCUUGGACAUGACACGGUACGAGUAUUACACGCUUGGCAAAUACUAUCCUAACAAGGACCGUUAUGUACCAAACGGUGAAUCGCCAGAUGGUUGGGACGGUUUAAGAUUUGAUUACGGUAACUUCUAUGCCUCCAAGACAUUCUUUGACUACAAAAAGAACAGAAGAAUCUUGUGGGGUUGGGCUAAUGAAUCUGACACCGUUGAAGAUGAUAUUCCAUGUGGCAUUCUCGACCAUCCCAAUAGAUCCAAAUGGUGAGUUUAUCAGAUAAGUACUUGUAUAAUUCUAUAUAUUCUUAUGUUAAUUGUAGUACAUUGUUAUUAUAUGUAAAAAUAAUCUUAAUCUAGGUGUUUCUGGAACGCAGGUCCAUUGUACUACAAAGGAUUCUACCAUCUCUUCUACCAAUAUAACACCAAAGGUGCAGUUUGGGGUAAUAUUGUGUGGGCGCAUUCGGUUUCCAAAGACUUGGUGAAUUGGGAGGCUCUUGAACAUGCCAUCUAUCCCUCCAAAUGGUUCGACAUCAAAGGUACAUGGUCCGGUUCAAUAACAAUCGUACCGGGAAAAGGACCGGUUAUCCUCUAUACCGGCAUUAACCAAAACGAAACUCAAAUCCAAAACUACGCAAUCCCGGAGGAUCCCUCAGACCCAUACCUAAGAAAAUGGAUUAAACCAGAUGAUAAUCCGGUUGCAGUGCCAGAUUAUACCAUGAAUGGUUCAGACUUUCGUGACCCAACCACGGCCUGGUUUUCCAAAGACGGACAUUGGAGAACCGUUGUGGGGUCAAGAAGAAAGCAUAGAG
rnacentral:lncRNA from 1 species